UGAGGAAUAUUGGUCAAUGGGCGCAAGCCUGAACCAGCAAUCCCGCGUGCAGGAAGACGGCCCUAUGGGUUGUAAACUGCUUUUCCAGGGAGAGAAACUUGCGUACGCGUUGCGCAAUUGACGGUACCCUGGGAAUAAGAAUCGGCUAACUCCGUGCAAGCAGCCGAGGUAAUACGGAGGAUGCGAGCGGUAUACGGAUUCAUUGGGGUUAAAGGGUGCGUAGGCGGACUAUUAAGUCAGUGGUGAAAUCCUGCAGCUUAACUGCAGAACUGCCAUUGAUACUGAUAGCCGUGAGUUUGGUUAAGGUAGGCGGAAUGUGUAAUGUAGCGGUGAAAUGCUUAGAUAUUACACAGAACACCAAUUGCGUAGGCAGCUGACUGAGCCGACACUGACGCUGAGGCACGAAAGCGUGGGGAUCGAACA
rnacentral:rRNA from 1 species